rnacentral:lncRNA from 1 species
UGUAAUCAGCCAUAUAAUUUAUAUUUGAUUUCCCAGGGAAGGAAUCCCAAACUUUUACGAAUGUAAACUCCCUUGGAGAAGAGGGUUAGGACGCUGUUGCGCUCAAGCCCCCCUCAGCUGUGUGCACACUGAGCCAGGACAGGGUCUUUGAGCUUUCCCACUAUAAGAAGAACAGCAACAAAAGGCCGUCUAGAAAAACAGAACCUGCCUCUGCUUCUGCUCAGGGUGUCCCCGCUGGGUUUCCAUUGUCCUUUCUCCAUUGCUCCCUCCUGUGACAGCCAUCUUGCUCAUGUACCAGCCCUCAUCACCCCAUCCCCAUAAAUGGGUGUCCUCGAGGCCUCUGCCUGGGGGUCAGAGGUCACCACAGGGUGGCCAUUGGCAUGUCAACCCGCUGUUAAUUCAGAGAAGUGGGCUCCACCUCAUUGGGAGAAGUGCCAUUUCAGCAGAAAUUCACACGUUAGACGUGUGUUGCUGUUAAGUAAGGGGAAGAGAGAGGACUAGCCUCAGAG